UCACCGGUGCGGCCAGCCGAUCCUGCCGUUCAUCUCCCCUGAAAUUCUCGACCGUUCAUUUAAACUUCCCUCCACUCAAUGCCCGAUUAGACGUAAGCCAUGCCCUGCAAGUCUCUGUGAAUCAACCCUUACCUCGCACUGUUCAUUCCGUGCGAUGACCACCAUCUUCUACCGCUUCAUUACCAGGUCCACCAAUAAAUUUAUCCUCAUUUACAUUGGAAACCCAUCGCCGGAACGACGCAUCGCCUUUUGCCUUGCUAUUCAUUUCAGUCAAGUUUUCCUCUGCAAAUCGAAGCAACCGUCGACGUGAUCAGGGCAGACUUUUGGAACAGUCCACCCAUAAAUCAAAUCAACCGUCGACCCAUAAAUCGAACAUCAUUUACAUUGGAAAACCAUCGCCGGAACGACGCAUCGCCUUUUACCUUGCUAUUCAUUUCCGUCAACUGUAUCUCUGCAAAUCAAAGCAACCGUCGACGUGAUCAUUUCCUACAGCAAGUUUCCGAGUUAAUUAAAAUCAGGUAUCAUACAUGAUCUUCAUCUCGUGAAACCCAAAAUUUAUUUUGGAAUCCCUAGUCGUAUACAUUUAGUUAAAGUAAUUGUGUCACUCCCAUAUGUAUUGUCUUCCUAAUCUCUUAAUCUUUAUUAUUGGAAUUACCCAUUAUGUUUAGAUUGCAUUGGGGGAUCGUUUUCUCCCUUCUUCCCCCCUGAAACCACGUUCAAAAGUCAUUAAUUUGAUCUGUGGAUGGGGCUUUCUAACAUAAUCAUUUCAUCUAUGAAAUAUACCUUGUCGUUGUUCCUUUGAAACCUGAUCAGUUCUUACAAAGCUCUUAGUUGCUGCUUAAUGGUGAAGCUUAUUGGGAAAUAGAUUUCACAUGGAUUGCUGCUGUUCCAUGAACACCGAGACAUGAAAGCUGCAACCAUUGAUGUCAUCGGCAAACAAAACAAAUUCAUUUCAUAUAUAAUUCUUCCAUAGCAAUUGAUAACAACUAGUAAUGAAACCGCUAACAAAAUGUGAUAUGAACAAUCAGAAUUCAGUGCAAUGGUAGGAGAAUGUUUAUUGAUAUUGCUGUGUUCUGUCUUGGCAUAGAUCAACUAGAAUGGGAAUGAGAUUUUUCUUGUGAGAUACAUUUAAUUGUUAAAAGUCCUUAAAAAUUCUCAAGUUACUGAAUAAAAAAUUCCACUUUUUUUUGAAAGCAUACAAAUUCAUAAAAGUAAAGUAUGAAAUAUUAAACAUGAAACAGUUAUUUCUUGAUUAUGUUUUUUUUUUAUCUUGUUCUUUUGCAUUAUAAUUUCUCUUCUUCUAAGUGAAUCCCUCAAUGUGGUAUUAGUUUGCCCUGAAGUGAUCCUAAUAGUUGCAUUUUUUACAAAGUAUAUCAGUUGAAAUUUACACAAAAAAAACAUUUAACCUGAUGGGUUGUUUUAUUGUGUCAGUCUAAGUUAUGUGUCUAGUAGCAUGCUUAUCCUUCCAAAAAUCUUGCAAAAUAGAAGGUCACUAAAAAUCUUAUGUCUAACAAAAAUAACUCUAAAACCAUACGAUGUAACCAAUAAAUUGAAAAUUGAAACCAAGAAAAUUAAAACCAAGAAAUUCUGCUGCUUCACCUAAUUAUUUAGUUCAUUUAAUAAAAAUUUGACGAAAAACGAUUGAUUUUAGUGUCCCUAAUUUGUCCAUCACCAAGUUUUUAUUAUUUUCUUUGUAACCAAGCUAAUAUUUCUUCUGUACAUCAUAGUUACUUUAUUAGAUUUAAAUUAAAUUGAAUGCCAAAUUUCCGUCAGCUAGUCAAAAUAUCCCUGAUUCAUCAAUAUAUUCUGUGUAGGAUCUUCCCCAUCGAUUGUAACAAAAUUAAGCGGCAAUGGUUAUUAUAACCUCCUUGGUAAGUAUUCUAUCUUUCAUAGCAUUUUAACUAUUUUUCUAUAAUUUCUAUGUGUGUGCAUUAGUUUCAUCAUUAAUUUUGGGCAUUCUAUAUUUUCUUAUUGUAACUCUAUAUUUUUAUAAUCCGUAUUUUUUUCUAGUUUACGCGUUGAUUAAUUUGUUUGAUUCGUCAGUGAUUUUUUUUUUUUUGAAUUUUAUAAGACUUUCAAAAGUCAUCUUGUAUUUUAGCAACACAUCAAUUUUAGUUCUAAGAAUCUUGAAAUUAAUGUAUUAGACUGACCCUCGCAUCUAUUAAGUAGUCAUCUGUAUUAUCAACAAAUUAGAGCGAUUGGGAUAAAAGACCUUUUCUGAUUUUCAUAAAUUAGAAAUUUAGUCUUGUCUGAUGAAAACUUAAUUUAGAAUUUGUAUUUGUGUAUUGUAUAUUACAUGAACUUGCCUAAUUAACUCUUAAGUUUGCUGAGUUUAGGAUUAUAAUAUCAUGACUUCGAUUUAGUUUUCAUGUAAAUAUAUAAUAAUUUAUAUAAAAUUCAUCAAAUUAUUAAUCUUAUUUUCCUGAAAAUAUAAUUUGCCAUAUUACAUAAUUAACCAAAAAAAUAGCAGUAAACAAGAUAAUAUAUAAUAUGUAACAAAGCUACUAAUUCUUCUGUACAUCAGAGUGAAUUAAUUAAAUUAUAAUUAAAUUUUAUACAAAAUGUUCCUUGUGAAAGUUCAAUAACACAUUUGUAAUUAAUGAAGCCUAGCUAUGUAAAUCUACAAUUAAUAAUUCUGUCAUAUAAUAUAUCAUAGCUAUUUUACAUCUAGAAAUAGUUUUCAUAAAUAUUAAGAAUUUUGUGUCAAACCAAUAUCAACUAAGCAUAUCCAUAAAUGAACUUCUUCUAUUGAGUAAAUUUUAUAUUAAAUAUAACUUAUAAAUUUAUUGUUAUAGUCAUUUGAUUUAUCUGAUUCUUAUGAAAAUAAGUAAAAAUUUAAUGGAUUUUUGCAGACCUUUAAUAUUAUUGUUUUUUUUUACCAACAUAUCAAAAUUGUGGAUGUUGUGGUUGCCCACUUCAACAAACUACUCCUAUUGUUCUAUUUUACUUGCAUUCCUAGUGAUCAUUUAACUAGUACCUUAGCCUCAGGAUGUUAGUCUCCCAAAUCUUCAUAUUGGCUAUGACUCAAUUUAGAAGACCCCAAAACAUGUCCAAGAGUGGCUCGAGCUAGCUCAAGCUUGUGUCCUCAAUUUCUGAGCAAAUUAUGACUCAUAUCAUGGAUUUUUCCACUAACGAUAUUAUGACUCAUAUCAUGUCCUGUUUCAUUCUGAGUAUUUACAUCAUUUUCUCCAUGAUAUUCAGAAAAUGAAUCAGUCUGAUUUUUUAGAUCAUAGUGCUGCAUUUGGGUAUUUUCCUCAAAUGUUGGUUGUCCUAAAUUGCAGAAUGAUUUAAUUGGGUCAGGCUGGAUUUUUCCAGUUAUAUCUGAUCAAUAUUGUGUGUUUAGAAUGUUUUUAGGGUGGUAUUUCCAGUCAUAUCUGAUCCAUUGCUUAUUUUGUUCUGAUUUUUGACAUUCUUUUGAUUAAAAACUAAUGUAUCUUGGUUUAAAAUAGCAUCUUGAUUUAAAAUUUUAUUCCCUGUUUUGUUUUAAAAAAAUUUCAGUAUUUUCCUCAUUAAAGACCGGUGCAUUUUGGUUUAAAUAAACAUUUUAAUUUAGGGAAUUAUUUCCUGUUUUAUUCUGAGUAUUUACAUCAUUUUCUCCAUGAUAUUCAGAAAAUGAAUCAGUCUGAUUUUUUAGAUCAGAGUGCUGCAUUUGUGUAUUUUCCUCAAAUGUUGGUUGUUCUAAAUUGAAGAAUGAUUUAAUUGGGUCAGGCUGGAUUUUUCCAGUUAGAUCUGAUCAAUAUUCUGUGUUUAGAAUGUUUUUAGGGUGGUAUUUCCAGUCAUAGUGCUGCAUUUGGGUAUUCCCUAUUUCAAUUAUUCCCUAUUUUCCUCAAAUAAUUAUUCCCUAUUUCAAUUGGGAUGUUUUCUUCAUUUUCUUUACUAAAACUUAAUGCAUUUUGAUUUAAAUCAAUGUUUUGAUUUAAAUCUUCAUUCCCUGUUUCAAUCCUAUUUUCUUCAUUAAAAACCAUUGUAUUUUGGUUUAAAAUGGUAUAUUGUUUUAGAAGAUGAUUUCUUUUUUUGUUCUGAAAAUUUCCAGUAUUUUCUUUAUUAAAAACUAAUGUAUCUUGGUUUAAAAUAGCAUUUUGAUUUAAAAUUUUAUUCCCUGUUUUGUUCUAAAAAAAUUUCAGUAAUUUCUUCAUUAAAGACCGGUGCAUUUUGGUUUAAAUAAACAUUUUGAUUUAGGGAAUUAUUUCCUGUUCUAUUCUGUGUAUUUACAUCAUUUUCUCCAUGAUAUUCAGAAAAUGAAUCAGUCUGAUUUUUUAGAUCAUAGUGCUGCAUUUGGGUAUUUUCCUCAAAUGUUGCUUGUCCUAAAUUUUAUACACAAUGUUCCUUGUGAAAGUUCAAUAACACAUUUGUAAUUAAUGAAGCCUAGCUAUGUUAAUCUACAAGUAAUAAUUCUGUCAUAUAAUAUAUCAUAGCUAUUUUACAUCUAGAAAUAGUUUUCAUAAAUAUUUAGAAUUUUGUGUCAAACCAAUAUCAACUAAGCAUAUCCAUAAAUGAACUUCUUCUAUUGAGUAAAUUGUAUAUUAAAUAUAACUUAUAAAUUUAUUGUUAUAGUCAUUUGAUUUAUUUGAUUCUUAUGAAAAUAAGUAAAAAUUUAAUGGAUUUUUGCAGACCUUUAAUAUUAUUGUUUUUUUUUACCAACAUAUCAAAAUUGUGGAUGUUGUGGUUGCCCACUUCAACAAACUACUCCUAUUGUUCUAUUUUACUUGCAUUCCUAGUGAUCAAUUAACUAGUACCUUAGUCUCAGGAUGUUAGUCUCCCAAAUCUUCAUAUUGGCUAUGACUCAAUUUAGAAGACCCCAAAACAUGUCCAAGAGUGGCUCGAGAUAGCUCAAGCUUGUGUCCUCAUUUUCUGAGCAAAUUAUGACUCAUAUCAUGGAUUUUUCCACUAACGAUAUUAUUAUAAAUAUAGUUGACCUAUGAGAGGAAGUAAGCUUUUUUAAUAUACUAAUAUUCAAGUAUUAUUUGCCUUUAAUUUUUUAUCCUAUCUGUAUUUCUACUUUUUGUUGCCUACUGUUCUUGGUGGGUUACUGUUAUUAGCUAAUUAUCAUCUGCGUGAGCAAUAUUCAGAAGAAGAUUGUCAUCUACUCUCUAUUCUCUGUUAAUUUGCUUCAAUCCUACAUUAGAAGCCUUAAAAGAAUUACUGAAUUAAACAGGACUAAGAGUCAGUAUCAUGAAAUCUAACCAGGCAUUUGUUGUAAUACAGAUGAACUGUUGAAUGCUUCUGGAUUUCUAAACACAUUGUCAUGAGUCUUCCACUCUAUAGCAAGUGUAGUAAAACUUAGAUUGUUAAAAAAUGUGGUCAUAUUAUACAAGGUAAUUCAAUAGUUAAAUUGGGUGUGUAUGGUAUAUUAUUAUUCUGGAUAUUCUCGUAUCAUUACAAGUUUCUUAUGGAAAUACAGUGUCAAACCUGACGAUAUAGGACUUUUUACCAUGACCUAAAAUAACAGAAGAUUUCAUUUUCCGCUCCACAGAGGAGGCAAGAUAGUUGAUUUAGGACCCCCCAAUUGUAAUGCAAUUGUUAUGUCAUAAUCAAUCUGUUUUUAUUUCUCCAUAGAAAAAUGUAGAAUUUUUUAGACAUAUGUUACCCUAUGUUCUUAGACACUGACUCUAAGGUCCUUCGUCCUAAGAGGUACCAUACUUAGUCCUAAAUUUUCUUUUGCAUUUCCUAUCUUUUAUGUGCUAGAGUUUUCAUCUCUACAGUCUAAUCAUUGUUCAAUGUUCUCUUUAUAGUCUAUUAGCUCUUUCCAUUGUACAGAUUCGAAUGUGGGUUUAACUUAGAUAUUUUGGAGUGUUAGGCCUUUAGUGUAUCUCUCAUGCAUCCACCAUGCUAUUAUAGCUUCUUUGAUCGAAAUUGUAGCUAUUUUGUAAUCAACUAAGGAAGGUAGGGAGAUUCAAGGCACCAAAUGAGUAUAUUUCCCUAGUAAUAUCAAGUUUACUAGCUGGAUUCUUACUCAAUAAGAGAGGCAUUUACCACUCCAUAUGGAAAGCAUAUUAGAAUGAUUAUGACACGGAUGAUAAUAAUAUGAUCCUCAAACCAUAUCAAUUAUUAUAGUAUAUGCACACAGAUACACUUUGACUAACCGAUUCUAUUCUAUAGUCUCCACCGCUAACACUCUAACAGCAUAAAGUAAAGUGGUAUUUAUUAAUUUACUUCUAGCUAAUUUCUAGCUUAAUUUACCAUUAAAGUACUCUACUUGAUAGAAAAAUGAAAUAAUGGUGCAUUGAUUGAACCACUAGCAAUAGUGAAUUAAUUUGAGACCAUGGAACAUGCCCACUAUAAAUGGUCUUAUAUUAUCAUGGUAUAUUUCAACUCUAAAAACCUUUAUAGGAUAAAUUAGAGCGGACCUUUAAUAUCAGUGCUUUUUUUUAGCAGCAUUGUUUGUAAGUGUAAAAUAUCUACUUAUUAAUGUAUUUAAACUCAUCAACAUAUAUAUCGAUUAGUCCUGUUUAAAUAUCAAAAACAACAUGACUACCCAAAAUUCUCCUAUAAAGAAUGAUUAAAAUAAAACGUAUUUCAAAAUUGCAAGUUGUAAUAAAUAUGGAAUUUUUAAAAUUAAUUGUAGAUUUCUAAUAUUUUUUGGUUGAUUUUUUUUUAAAAUUUCCGUGUAUUUAAAGAUUUUCUUAAUUUUAAAUAAAUAAUAAUAUGAUUAGUUUACUAUCAUAGAUGUUCAUUUGUUUUAAUAUUGUAUAUUAGCUUUAUUAUUAUAUUAAAUUCUUAAUGGAUGUUGAUAUAAAUCCCUUAAUUUGAUUACCAAAUUCCAAGCUACAUUAUUCAUUAUUGCAUAUCGUCAUUGUGUAACUUACGAUAAAAGAUUAUUUCUAAUAAGACAGAUUUCAUAGUCAUAAGAAUCACAAAAUGAUGAGUGAAGAUAAACGAUUAUAUAAUCUAAUUUAUGUAUCUAAUAUAGCUCAUGUCGGAUUCUAAUUUGAAGAAGGUGAGAGAUCGGAGGUGUGUGUGUGCGAGAGCAGUUAGGGUUCGGAGUCGAGGGGUCGCCGGAUGGGAGCUUGAGACGUUUGGAACCCUAAUAGGGUUUUGUAUUUUGAUAUUUGAAAAAGUUAAAGUAAAAGUUAUUACAAGAACUAUUUAUAUCAUGACCUAAGCUUAAUGGGCCAACAUUGGUUGGGCCUGGUUAUAUCUAAAUAUUAUUUAAUCUAAAAGCAUUAAUCUAAUUACUUAAUCUUAAUACCCCCCCUCAAGCUGGA
rnacentral:lncRNA from 1 species